rnacentral:rRNA from 1 species
UACGUAGGUGGCGAGCGUUGUCCGGAUUUACUGGGCGUAAAGCGCGCGCAGGCGGUCCUUUAAGUCUGAUGUGAAAGCCCACGGCUCAACCGUGGAGGGUCAUUGGAAACUGGGGGGACUUGAGUACAGAAGAGAAGAGUGGAAUUCCACGUGUAGCGGUGAAAUGCGUAGAGAUGUGGAGGAACACCAGUGGCGAAGGCGACUCUUUGGUCUGUAACUGACGCUGAGGCGCGAAAGCGUGGGGAGCAAACAGG